rnacentral:lncRNA from 1 species
AAAAAUCAAUUUAUUGAAUUCACAAAAAAAAUCAAUUUAUUGGUCCAUCUAUUUCAAUUUUUAUGACUUUUGGUCACCAACAAAAUUUUGGCUCAAUUUUAAUGACGUGGUAGAGUCACUUAUCAGAAAUGUGAUCAUGUAUAUAAAACUGCUACAAAUGAAUUAUUUUUUUGUAUGAACAUUGGAAAUAUACGGUGGAUGGUGAGAUAAAUGAGGAAAGGUAAUUCACAAUUACCCUAACAACAAGAAAAAUUUCAAAUCUUUCUUUCAAGAGCUAAUAAAAGAAGGCAAAAGAACUAGAACUUACAGCAAAAGAAUGAUCACACUAAUACCCGUUAUAAGGAAUCAAUCGUUAGUUGGUAUAAUGAUUAUUUGUGCUAUAUUUGGUAGGAAGGAUCAUGAUUUGAUCCCCUGCAACUGCGAUCAGAAGAAGUUUGAAACCACUUGAUGUAAGAACCGAUCCAGAACCAGAUUAUGAUAGAACAAAGAGUGAAUAAUAUGUAAAAUAGAGAAACAAGUAAUUGUAUUAAUGACUAGUUGAACAAUUACAAUUAUGAAUGGAAAAUGUAUGAAAGCAACAAGCAAAGAUAACUGUAGAAUUGAUAAGAAUUAUCAAUUCUCCCAAAGCACAAAGGCCCCUAUUCACGUAUUGUGAAUGCAAGUUUAACAGAAUGAUAAGAUACCCUUUCUCUCUCCACCCAACCAACUAUAAGUAGUGCUCAAUAUUAGCGCAACUCAUGCAUCUCAUGCACGCUUUCAAUCCACGUCAUCCUUUAUUAUUCUUCUUGAAAUGCUUCCUUUCAUACACUCUCCACACUUUGGGCUUAGGACCAAAGUCAAGGCCCACUUGAUCCACACUUCCAUCAG